rnacentral:lncRNA from 1 species
AAGAUGAUUAUUUGCCAUCACAAUUUCUUCCAAAUUUGACAUACUCCCCAUCCACCUUGGUAUGUCCCCAGAAAGCUCGUUAUUGCUUAAAUCCAAUGUUAACAAACUUGACAUAUUCUCCAUCCACAUUGGUAUCUCCCCAGAAAGCACGUUAUUGCUUAAAUCCAAUGUUGACAAAAAGGAGCAAUUAGACAAGGAAUCUGGGAUCUUCCCAGAGAAAUGAUUCCCAUCUAAGUGCAACUCCCGCAACUUUGUAAGGUUAACAUUUGAAGAGAACAUCUGCCCUUGCAAUUUGUUGUUGGACAGUGCAAGGGAAGUUAAUGAAAAGCAGCCCAUGGUCAAAUGCUCGGGUAGCCCACCAGACAAUUGAUUAUUGGACAAGUCCAAGGCUUCUAAGAAAUUCAUAUCACCAAUCGAAGAGGGAAUGCUACCGUGAAAUUGAUUUUUUGACAUGUUCAGAAACGACAAUGAUGGUAGUUUUUCCCCAAUAUCAAUUGGAAGAUUGGUAUAGAAUGAAUUUUCUGAGACAUCCAAAUACGAUAAGUCCGUAUGCGGAAGGAAAGGUAACUCAAAAUGACCUUGGAGAGAGCUGUUAGCAAGAACUAACAUUUCCAAAUUUGCGUUGUUAUUCAACAACCAAUUUGGAAAUCCCUCUCUAAAGUUGUUGUUAGAGAGAUAAACUUGCCUUAAGUCAUGUUGAUGGAACAAAAUAUGAGGAAAUUGUCCUACAUCUCCACAACUAGAUAAACUGAUAAGGUUCAAUUGGAAUCUUGGGGCCAAAGGUUGCAUCUCACUUUCAAUGUAUAUGGUAUUGUUGUCCGCAUUGAAAUGCUUGAGUUUUGAAAGGUUGAAGAAGGGCUCCAAUGAGCUUGGGAUUUUGAAAUAAUUGUUUGAAAGUCUCAACUCUACGAGGGAUGUUAAAGACUUAAGGGCAGAUACAUCUCCAGAUAACUGAUUGGAAGAGAGAUCUAAACUCUCAAGAGAUGUGAAAUUGUAAAAACACUCUGACAAAGUACCCUUCAGAUUAUUGUUGCUUAUAUCCAAGAGCCUGAGAUUUGUCAAGCCACAAAAACCUGCAAACAUAACAUUAAAUAAAUAAAUAGAAUGCCAUUCAAAGGAACCAAAAACAAUAAAACAAAUUAAAUAUAAUAUAUUCUAGUUGUAUUCGUUCCUUGCCUAAAAAAAAGGGAUCUUAUUGUAUGGGAAAGUAGGGUACUAAAAUGUUUCGUGUUUAUUCACCUUGGGUAUGUAAGGUGCCAUUGAGUCCACAACCCGUUAAGCUUAGUUGCUUGAUAGAAGGCAUUGCACCAAUUUUGUGAAGAAAGUUGUUUUCAAGAGAAGUAUCUUCUAUGUGCAUGAAUUCCAAAUUCUGCAACUCAUGUGGAUCUAUUUCAAACAAAACCAAAGUUACAAAAAUUUAUGUAGAUAUGUUCCAAAUGGAAAAAAAAACUGUAUGCAAUUCAAUAUAUAUAAAAAGAAAGAGAGAGAUCCUUUAAGUUGAGUUUAUUAUUUUAGCUUUAGGGUGGGUUUGGAUAGGCGAUUGGAUGCGGUGCGGUGCGUUUAGUUUACUUUUUGUCUCACGCUACAGUAUCACUAUAGUGUCUAAUCUCACCGCCACCGCUGUUUUUACACUAACCGCAGGUAAAUGCACUGCCCAUCCAAACUCACCCUUAGUAUUUGGAGUUUUGAGAAAAGGUUAUUAGGGACACAAAGUGAGUACAAAUCAUUGAAAAUUUUAGAAAAGAAAACAAUUUUAUAAAAUAUUACUAUAAAAUUAUAGAAAGAGAGAGAGAGAGAAACUGAGAAAUAUUAUUCUUUUACCCUCAUUUUUCUUUUUUAUAUUUAUUGAAAAUUUUAGGAAGCACCACAAUUUUAUAAAAUUAUCCAAAAAAAAAAUUCACUUUCUUUCUUCUUCUUCUUUUUGUAGUAAUUAUUAAAAAGUUAAAUAAUUUCUUGAAUUUUCGUCAUCACAUCCUAUCAUAAGUUUUUUAAUGCUGGGAAAUGAAAUCAAAAAAGAAGAAGCAUGAAUCAACAAAUUUUUUUAUUAAUAAUUAUAAACAGUUUUGCUCUUUUUUUGGGUUUAAUAAAUACUAUUUCAAAAAUAGGCUUGUCAUGAAUAAUAUAUUUAUGGGGAAAAUCAUUCUUUGUAUAAAAAGAAAUGAUAAAUUAAAAGAUACUUACCAUUCAUGAAGAGGCUGUCACUGACGUUACACCCUUCCACGUCCAAUCUUUUUAAAGAAGGUAGUGCUCCAAUGAAGUUAAAAGGGAGAGAUGAAUCCCAUAACCACAACUCUUCUAAAUUUGUCAAAUUUUGCAUGAAUUCCAAAUUCUGCAACUCAAGUGUAUCUAUUUCAAACAAAACCAAAGUUACAGAAAUUUAUGUAGACAUGUUCCAAAUAGAAAAAAAAGUGUAUGAAAUUCAAUAUAUAUAAAGAGAAAGAGAGGGCUCCUUUAAGUUAAAAUCCUCACACAAUGCUAUUAUUUCAUAUUUUAAAAUCAAUCACUUUCAUCUUUUAGCAUUAAAAAUAUUAAAGCAAUAUUAAAAAUUUAAUACCAAAUAUACUAAAAUUAACAUUGUAAUGCUAAAUUCAAUGGAAAUAUAUAGAAGAGAACUAAAAGUUUGUGUGAAUGGAAUGACGAAGCAUGCAUAAUUUAGCAGGAGGUAUUAAUUUUAAACAUGAAUCAUAAAAUAAAAUGAUUCUUACACGAGAGAAAUUGAAAAACUCAUUUUUUUAAUCGAUUAAUUGUAAGAUUGCAACAUCAACUCUUCCAAGUUUGUAAAUUAUGCAAUUUAUUCCUUGAAAAAAAUUAUUAAAAAUAUAUGUACACGUGUAUUUUGUGAAGGCAGAAAAUUUUAAAAUAAUGUCAACAAAAUAAAUAUUUGUGUUAGUCUUAGGAAAUAGGGUUUGUAGAAAAACAUUAUAACUUACUGAUUCGAUAACGAGAGUUAUUAAAUUUAAAUCCUCCUAAAAAAAAAGUCUUCAAUGAUGGGAAUAAAAAGUAAAAAAUAAAUGGUGAAUAUAUUAAUUUAUGUCAUAUUAUUUUUUUAUAUUCUUUUACAAAUGUUUUAAUAUCAAUUAGAUUUUUUUAUUAUCACUAUAUUUUAAUCAUCAAAAUAAUAAACAUAUGUUAAUUAGUUAUUAUUUUGAAUAAUGUUUUUUUGUAAAUUACAUGGUGUAUUGAUUAAAUUAAAAAAACUUUAAUUAUGAUUUCAAAAUUAUUUGUAUAAUAUUUAAUUUUUAAAUAAGUUAAUAUAUUUUAAUUAUAUUCAACAGUUUUGUAUAAGAAAUAUUAUUUUACAAUAAUUAAAAAUAUAAUAUUAAAAAAAUUAACUAAAAAUUAAAUAUCUAAAAUCACAUUCAACAUAUGUGCCAUUAGAAACCAGUAUUUAUGCAAAUUAAUCUUAAGCAUUAAGAUAGGUAAAAAAAAUAGUAACUUACUGAUUUGGGAAUGGGAGUCAAUUAAAUUAACUCCGCCCAAGAAAAGAGUCUUCAAUGAUGAGAAUAAAUCCAAUGAUUGUAGUUGAAGAUUGCAAACUGAGCCUAUCAAAUAGUAUAUUUAUAUUUACUUUAUUUCUUUGGAAUAUAUCAAAUUAAUCAAACUAACAAGUAAUUAGUAAAUUUAAAUUAAAUUUGGAAUUAGCCACAAUUUUAUUUUAGUAGUACCAAUUGGACGGCAUCUCAUAUCGAGGUCCUCCAAAUUGCUCAAGCCAUCUAAUUCUGAGGAGAAUCAAAAAUUGAAAAGUAAAUACUUUAUUAAUAUAUGUAGACGUCAUUGAAUAAGGAGAAAGAGGAUGAUAUUCAACAGUUUUGUAUAAGAAAUAUUAUUUUACAAUAAUUAAAAAUAUAAUAUUAAAAAAAUAACUAAAAAUUAAAUGUCUAAAAUUACAUUCAACAUAUGUGCCAUUAGAAACCAGUAUUUAUGUAAAUUAAUAUUAAGAAUUAAGAUACGUAAAAAAUAGUAACUUACUGAUUUGAGAAUGAGAGUCAAUUAAAUUAACUCCUCUCAAGAAAAGAGUCUUCAAUGAUGAGAAUAAAUCCAAUGAUUGUAGUUGAAGAUUGCAACCUGAGCCUAUCAAAUAGUAUAUUUAUAUUUACUUUAUUUCUUUGGAAUAUAUCAAAUUAAUCAAACUAACAAGUAAUUAGUAAAUUUAAAUUAAAUUUGGAAUCAGCUACAAUUUUAUUUUAGUAGUACCAAUUGAAUAGCAGCUCAUAUCGAGGUCCUCCAAAUUGCUCAAGCCAUCUAAUUCUGAGGAGAAUCAAAAAUUGAAAAGUAAAUACUUUAUUAAUACAUUUAGACGUCAUUGAAUAAGGAGAAAGAGGAUGAUAAUUUUACCUUUAAUAUCUAUUGUUCCUUCCAAAUUGGAGCCUCCUAAUGACAAGGUCUUUAGAUUUGAGAGUGUACGGAGAGAUGACAAUAUAGUAUUGUUGAAGAGAUUGUCAGACAAACGAAGCACCGUCAAAUUCAUCAACCUUAAACCUGCCUCAUUAUUACCAAGUAGCAUGUUCUUAAUUAUUUCACUUCCCAUUUAGUUAUACUUUUCAAAUAUAUAUAUACAUAUAUAGAUUUUAGCGAAUUCUUUUUCCUCCAAUCUGUAAUAUAUUUUAUAUAAUUUAAAUAUAUCUAAAAGUAUUUAUAAAUUGAAUUCAAGUAAGAUCGAAAUACAAUGGAGCAAAAAAUUUAAACCUAAAAUUAUGUAAAACUCACAUCAUCAAAUCCUUCACUCUUUGACGUCUCUUGAUGCAUUUAUAAUUAAUUUUAUUUUUUAUACCCUAAUAUUAUAUCUUUCUUAUUAUUUUAUUCAUACCACCCAUUUUCAGUAAAUCGGAAUAGUGGUUUCGUAAUCACAAAUCCGAGCUAGAAAGAAAAUUUAUUUUAAUAUUGUGGUAUGGUCUAUAUUAUGAUAAGAAGGUUGCAUGAAAAUUUUGAUAAUAAAAUUUUAUUGAUUAUAAGGUAAAAUUUAUUUAAAUGGAUUAAAUAAAAAAAUGCAUUUCCGGGACUUCGUUCCUGUAAAUCGGAUUCGUAAAUAUUUAUUAUAAAUAUUUACGAAGUUAGUUGUGUGUCUAAUUAUGUUUUGACUAGGUGAAUUUGAUUUAAUUAGAAGUAAUUAGGAAAAAGGGAUUAGAUUGAAAUAAGUGUGAGAGUUUAAUUAUAAAUUAAAGAAAGUAAAAAGGACUAAAUAGGCAAAAAUACCAAUGUUAUAAAUUUAGGCGGUUUAACAUUGAAAAAAAUCUAAGAUAUUUUUUAAUUUAAAAUAUGUAUUAUAUUAUAUUAUAUUUACUUAAUUAACAAGUAUGUUAUUUUAUUAUAUAAUAUAAUAUAUUAUUAUAUUAUUAUAUAUAAAAAAACAAAAGAAAGAAUAAAGAAACAGAAUCGAAACAGAGGAGAAACAGGGGAGAAAGAAAGAAAGAAAAAGUAAAGAAGAAAACUUUAAGGUUCAAUUUCAAAUUGGUAAGUCAAAUUAAGUCAUUUUCUUAAAAUUUUUGAGUUUUUAUGAUUCUAGAACAAAAUACUAUUAGGUAUAUGUUGAAAUUUUGAAAGCUAGUAGAAUUUUUUUUAUGUAGUUUAUAUUGAAUUAGUGGAUGAAUUGAUGGAAAUUCAAACUAGGAUUGGGAAAAGGAUUAAAUUGAGAAAUAAGUUAUAAGUUUAAUGUAAAAUUGUAAGAAAUUCGAAAUUAGGGUUUAUUAGUGAAAAUUUGAGGGUUAAGUUAUAAGUAGAAUUUAAGUAAAAAUAAGGUAUAGAUUGUGAUAGAAAUAGAAAUAAUUUUAGUUAUGAAUUAAAUUGAAAUAUUAGCUAAGGUAAUAAAUUAUGAAAUUAUUAUAUCAUAUAUGUUUAUUUUUAUUAAAUAAUAUAGGAAACUUAUUUGAUUGUUUUUCUAAUAUAUAAAUGUUAUGUAACACCCCUUACCCGUAUUCGAUGCCGGAAUAGGGUACGAGGUAUUACCAGAACACACACUUAUAACCAUAUUAAAUCGAGUUGUAAAAUUUCAUCUAAGCUAAAACUUUUAAAUUGUUAUUCUUAAUUCGCUAAUUAGGGUUUACAUAGCCCAAUAUACUCACAAUCUUUCAUUUCCUCGUCGUAUGAAUUUAAAAAUUUCCAUUUACUUAUUGAAUUCAUCACGAAUACCUGAAUUGAUCUGUAUCAUUGCAUAUUCCCAUGUCGUCACAUUUUCCUAUUUAACUAUUGUAAUAUAUCAAUUAUUCAAUAUCUUAUAAGCUAAGUGUCACAUAUACUUUAUCCAUUCAUCUCCCAUACAACUAUCAAUAUUAGCUACAAAGAUAGAACAAAUUUUCUCUCUUCGAUGUUAAAUCAAAACAUAUUACUUCAUUACCAACUACCCUUACUAAAUAUACACCUUAAAUUAGUCCAAGUGUUUAACUAUUCACCCAUGACAUAAAUAUAUUUUAUCUAUUAUUGCAGAAUAUAAAUGUGUUACCCAAAUCAUAAUUCACCUCACAUAGUAACUAAGUUAAUUUUUAUCAUUUGUCAAAUAAAUUACAAAACAAAUUAUAUAACAAAAUAUAGAUACAUUUUAAACCUCACCAAUAAACAAAUUCUUAUGGCAUUAAAUAAUUAUCACGCAUCAAAGACAAACGUAUUUGAUAUUUCCAUCACAUAAACCGGAUUAAUCAGUGCAAACUCAAUGAUGUAAUCAUCCUUUUAACUUACCUAACCAAGCCAAAUUAUACCAUCAUCUCACACAUAGAAUGACCCACCUAUCAUACUUCUCAAUUAUGUCACUUAAUAGACCAAAUAUACCUAACGUUUAUCAUCAUGAUCAAUCCACAACCAAAAUACAUCCAUAUAUCUAAAUUACCACACACAUAUAUAUAUACCAUACACACAUACUAUAAAACUUUAUUUUCCCCAUGAGCUUAAACCAUGACUAAUAAUGCACAAAUAUAAGUAUCAUUUCUAUUUCAUCGUUUAUCAAUUAUAAUCGAACAUAUGACCAAUUAUAGACAAAUCAUUCAUAUAUUCUCCAAUUUUCCUCCUCCUCCUCUCCAUUCCACAUCCUUAAUGUGUAUAAUACAUUUAAGCAACAUUUUCCAUACUAUCACUAUUUUUCUGUAUGUAAAUUCAAGUUGUCUAUCUGAGUCAGAGUCACUAAUUUAUUUAUAUCUCGAGCUACAGAGCUCAAAAUUAAGAUCCGUAAAUUUUUCCUGAAACUAGACUCAUAUAUCUUCUUACCAUAAAAUUUUCAGAAUUUUUGGUGCAUCCAAUAAGUACAGUUUAUUCUUUAAAGUUUCCCCUGUUGCACUGCUCGACAGUUCUGACCGCUCUUCACUAAAAAUUGAUUAUCUCAUUGAACAGAAUUCAAAUGGUAUUCCCGUUUAUUUCUCAUGAAAAUAGACUCAUGUAGGAUUCUAAAAAUAUAAGUUUUAACCCAUAAUUAAUUUUGUACAAUUUUUAAUGAUUUUCCAAAGACAGAACAGGGGAUUCCGAAAUUAUUCUGACUCUGUCUCACAAAAUUUAUUAUAUCUCAUGAUUUACAAUUCCAUUGCUUACACUGUUUCUUCUAUGAGAAACUAGACUCGAUAAGAUUUAAUUUCAUAUAUUACUCAUCUUCUAAUUCAAUUCCCACGAUUUUUGGUGAUUUUUCAAAGUUGGCACACUGCUGCUGCCCAAAACUGUUUUAGUGCAACAUUUUGAUAACCAUUUUGACCCUAAACUUUUAACACAUGACAAUUUCAUCCCUAGGCUCAGAAAAUGAAAUUCUUGCAAUUUAAUCCUUGAUCCAAGCCUAAUAGUUCUCAUACAUAUUAAUAACAGCCCAUGGAUACCAUGAAAUUUCAGAAUUUUCCCACAGUUUCAAUACUUUUCAACUUAAUCCCUAAAACAUAUUUUCAUCCAAAAUUCUUUAAUAAAACACCUUUAAACAUUCAUUAACAUAUCAAUUUCAUCAUCAAAUAACAAAAAUCAUAUGAACUUAUCAAUGGUAUCUUUCUAAACUUUCAACAAAAUGAGAAACUAGUAGAAUACUAGGUUGGACCUAAUUGUAAAAGUCUAAAAAUAUAAAAAUUUUAAUGAAAAAGUAAGAAUUUCACUUACUUGAAGCUAAAAUAUGGAAGACCAGAUCUAAACCCUCUUCCAUGGCUAUUUCCCACCGAAAUUUCAAGAAUAAUUGGUCUUGAAAUCCUUAAAAUAAACUUUGGCCACAUAAACUUUAUUGUAAUUCCAAUUUUGUCCUUAAAUACAUAAAAAUCUUUGAUUUUUUUAACGGUAUGCCGCCUCUGCCACUUAAGUUGGUCCAUUUACUCCCUUAGUCCUUUCUUAUUUAAUUGCUAAGCUAUUUAAUCACUUUAGCAAAUUUUGCAUCUUUUCAAUUUAGUCUUUUUUAAUUAAUUGACUGCCGAAACGUUAAAAUUUUCUGACGAAACUUUAACACUACCAUAUUGACACUCUGUAAAUAUUUAUAAAAAUAUUUUCGGCUCGAUUUAUAACAUCGAGGUCUCGAUACCUCUUUUCCUCAACUUCUUAACUUAAUAAAUUUUUAUAAAAUACAAAUUACUAAUUCAAAAAUCUCUUAAAAAUCAUAUUUGACCCGUAAUUAUUAAAUAAUAAAUUUUUUUGAGCUUAUUUUCUGAAUUUGGUGGUCUCGUACCACUGUUUUCAAUAUUUCUAAAAAUCGGGCUAUUACAUGUUAUGUGUUUUAUAUGAAAUUGAAGAGAAAGAAAAGAAAGUAAAGGACCUAAUUGAAUAAAAAGGAAAAGAGAAAGCUAAGGAGUGAAGGAAGACAUCAUCUCAACCUUUUUGUUGUAAGUACUACAAGAUUAUUUUUUUAAAAAUUAUUUUAUUUAAAUGCCUAUAUUAUAGUAUAGAAUUAUUUAGGAAUAAAAUAAAAUAAAGUAAAAUAAAAGAUUAUGGAACCAUGAAAUUUGUAAAGAAAAUUAUAGAUGGAAAAUAUAAGAUGGUAUAUUGUUUAAACAUUAAGUAAAUAUUGUGACAAAAGUAUAUAUAUGUGAAAAUGGUGUGAUAAUUGUGAAUUGUGAAAUGUGCACUAAAUUGUAAUGAUGGAGAAAUGAGAAAUCUUUUUCAAAAUAAUUCUAUAAAGUAUUUAAAUGAAUGAGAUUCAGUUUUAACGCCCAAGUAGAUGGAAUUUAGAACUACCAGGAUAUUAGUGGCAUGCCAUUAAGGAAUUUUAGCGCUCUCUGAUUAUUAGCACGUUGGUGCUCUCUGAUUAUUAGCACAUUGGUGCUCUCUGAUAUUUAGCACGCCAGUGCUCUCUGUUUAGCACAUCUGUGCUUUUUGUAUAGCACUUUAGUGCUCUCUGUUCAUUGGUGCAUAAUAAUGCACCUCUGUAUUUGUUCCGUAUAUCCAGUGUGUUCUAUAAAAUCUACUUUGGGCUAAUAUUAUGAUUUGUGGAUAAAAGCGAAUAAUUAAUGUGUUAAGGUAAGUUUUAUGAAGUUUAAAUGUAUGUAAAUAUGUAAUAGCAGAAUGAGUUUGAAAUAUUUUAUUUAGAUUUAUUUAUUUGUUUAUUCUUGUGGUGCUUACUAAGCCUUCACCGGCUUAACGCGUUUAAUUUUAACGCGUAGGUACAGUUUGACUCGAAGAGAUAAAGUCAGAAUAGAAGAUCUCUCAUCUCAUCACAUCCUCAAGAGCUUCAAAAGUAGGUACCAUAUUUUGAAUUAAAAUGGCAUGUACAUAGGCAGUCAGUUAUGCUUCCAUGUAUUAGGAACUAAAAUGUAAACUCUUGAACUUCUAUAUAUUUUUAGGUACUUUACAUAUUUUGGUAUAUAUAUGAAAUGAAUUAAUAAAACUAUAUGUAUGUUUGCAAAUAUGGUUGGUAAGUUAAAAUACCAUGUAUAAAUGUUUUAAUUAAACAAUAUCUAGCUAUAACCGUUUUGGCACCAAAUGUAAUAGUCUUAUACCGGGUCAGUACGAUUAGACCAGGUAUAGGGUUGUUACACCACUAUCUUGUAUUCAUUAUUCACAAAAUUUUAACUUCAUUAAGAGCAACAAAAUUAGUUAUUUCAAAAUAAUAAUAAUAACAAAACCAGAAAAUAAAUAAAACUCAACGUUAAAAAUAAAUUUAAAAUACCUUGUGAUGGAACAAAUUCUGUCACUUCGUUGAACGAUAAGAUCAACUUCUCUAAAUAGCUGAAAGCAUUUAGAUCUGAAAAAAGAAUUACAAAUAAUUCUAACAAUAAGUCAAAUUCAUAGAUUUAAUGCAUUGUUUGUUGGUUAAUCUUGUUCAACUUAUCCAGAAAAGGCCACAUCUUGAACAAAUUUAUUUUUAUUUUAUAAGAUUGGUCUUGUUUGGUAUAAAUCAUUGUUUUAAUAAUAAAAGUAAAUUUAUAUUUAUAUUUUAGGGUAAAUUAUUAAUAUAAAAUAUUUUUAAUAAUGUAUUAUACUAUUACUUUAAAUUUAUUAAAACAAGCUAUUUAAAUUAACUUGUAUCAUGGCUUAGCCAACUCCAUCCAUGAUGUAAAAAUAUUUGAAGUUUAAAAAAAAAAAAAAAAACUCUUUCCUCCUAAUAACAAGGUGAGCAGAGAGUUUUGGAUGAUAUACCUACUAUUCUUAAAUUGUUGCUGAAAUGUGAAAUAGUUAAUUCUUUCCUGAUUUAGUUUAUUUUAUACCUAUCAUACAAGUGUUUAGCAUCUUUUAAAAUUCAAAAAUAUUUUUUUCUCUCAAAAAUCGCACAAUGUUUUACUCUGAAAUUAAAUUAGAAAAAGAAUAAAAAAAUCAAACAUAAAAAAGAAAAAAAAAACCCAAAGACGACAUAUAAUUACCUUCAAUAUGUAUCGGCCCUUUUAAAUUGUUGAAACUUAAAUACAAAGACUUCAAAUUUGAGAGCGGAGAAAGGGAUGAAAAUACGCUGCUAUUCAAUAGAUUUUCACUUAUACCAAGCACUUCAAGUUUGUUCAAUCUCAACUGUUCUUUAUCUGAAAAAAGAUAAUGUAAUAAUUCAAUUAUGCAUGUAUAUAUAUAUAUAAUGAAUAAAGUAAAGUAAAUACCGUAGGAAGAAAAUCCAAGGCUCUCAAUUUGAUUUGAGCCUAAGUACAACUCCUUCAAGUUGAUAAAACUAUUGAAUUCUGUCCACAUCCAAUUAAAAUGUAUUAGUCAAUUAAAUUAUUUAAAAAGCAUCUAAUCAAGAAGCAUGAGAUUAGAAAAGAAAGCAUGCCUAGCAUAUCAAUACUUCCCACCAAUCCACAAUCCUGCAAUCUCAAUGAUUUUAAAGAGCUAAAAUCAUUUAGUUGGGAUGAAAUGUUUGCUAUAUAAUUGUGGUGAGAUAAAUCCAAAAUCUCCAAAUUCUUCAAUUUUGAUAACCUCUUUAAACCUGCUAUCAAUGAUUUUAAACAACGUUAGUAAUUGUAAUAAGUGAUAAAUUUUCUUUAAACUUAGGCUUAGAUGUUUCGUAUAUAUAAUUAAAUAAUAAUUUUACCGUCAAUAGGAUUUGAUCCUAUGAAAUUGUUGCCUGCUAGAUUCAAAGACUUGAGCGAUGAAAGUUUACUUAAGGAUGUUAAAAUGCUAUCGUUGAAAUAAUUGUCACUUAAGUCGAGGAUUUCUAACUUAUUCAAUUUCGAUGAUAGUUUUUCAAAACCUACAAGAAAUAAGGAAUUAGACUAAAUUUAGAUAAACAAAUGAUUGAAACGUGUGUGUGUCAAAACUUAUUAUUGAAAGUGAAUGAACCUUGGUUGUCCACAAAACCAACAAUGGAAUUCCCACUCAAAAAAAGACUUUGCAAUUCCUCAAAAGGAAGAAACAAAGAAGUGUUGAGAUACCAAUAUUCGUUGUUUCCUGUUCUUCUGUCAUAUGAGUCAUAUGAAUAAACUAAAUCAUAGGAGGUUGGAGGAGUGUACGUAAGAUUAAGGAAAAGAUGGGUGACACGUCCAGUGAUUGAGCUACACUCAAUAUUUUCCCAUUCACAACAAUCUGAUGAAGUCUCUUUUUCUUCGAUAAUUGGGUCGGACAUUAAACCAUCAAUUCUAGAAUCAAUGGAAGGAAAGAAAGGUUUGAGUUGGAAGAGAGCUAACCUUUCUUCCUCCAAGCACCCCUCAUUACGCCACCCUUCUCCUAACAUUAUUAACGCUACCACUACCAUCUUCAACCAUUUCCAGUACUCCAUCUGCUCACUUAAAAAGAUGCUAUAAUUAAUCACUCUUGGUGCUUUUGUAGCCAAAACUGCAAACUUGGGCCUUUAUAUACUACAAAUGAAGGAACCACCCCUCGUGUUUCCAUGAAAUUUACAAAUAAUUGAGGGUUCACAUUUCAUUGCUUAGAUAGAAAACAUACUUUUUCUUUUCUUUUCCUCGUUAUUAAUAUUUUCCUAGCAUCAUCAUAUAUUUCCUCUCUUUUCAUUUCAAUAUAACUAAAAUGUUAAUAAAAAGACUUUUGUUUCUUAAGUUUUGUGGCUGAUUUGUUGAUAAUAUUUUCCGCAACAAAAUUUGAUUUUCUUGUUUCUUCAUUCAUUAGACUUAACAAAAAGAAUUGAAUGACUUUAGUUUAAUUUAAGUUAUAAAAAUUAACGAGUAGUUUGGCUUGAUAAUGUAAGGAAAAAUAUUGGAUGUAAAAUCUUAAUUACCAUAAUUAAUGUCUUAAAAGUAGUGGUUGAUGUAUUUACACAUUUGUCUGUAUUAUUAGUUAAAUGAUGGCGUACCAAUCAUGAAUUUAAUCCCACUCUUGCCCUUGCCAAAUUUUAAUAACUUCCUCAUUGAUGUUUUACUGAAAGAAAGAAAAGUUGUGAAUAUGAUAUCAUGAAAUUUAAUGUUUUUUAUUCAAAGAAUUGUAUACAGUAAAAUUUGAGUUGAUGAAUAUUUGUAAACUGUAAACUUGAUUCUCAUGAAGUUCCGUUUGGAAGGGGAGAACAUAGACUUUUGUUUUGGGAUUGAUGAUAUAAAGAUGCAAGCUAGCAAGAAUUAAUGGUUGGAUGUUGUUGCCCCAGCAUUACGCCUACUUCUGGAGAAGACUUUGGAUUAAUGAGAAGACUUUGAAUUGAUUUCCAUUGAUAGAUGGAAUUAUUGAGGAGACUUUGACUUUGCUUAUACCCAUACCCAUACCCAUACGGCAUAAGUAAUAUCUCUUUAUGGAUUUGAUGCCUUUUUAUCAUGCUUUUUAGUUUCCUUUAAAAAUGGUUGAUAUGACUUAUUUUCAGAAUUCUAUGAUUUUUUAUAAAAAAAAAUUAAAAUUUUAUUUAGUUAUUAAAAUUUCUAAAAAGUAUAGUUUCAGAAAGAAAAUGUUCUGAAUUGUUUAUAAUUUUGUUAAAAAUAAAUUUGAUAUCUCUUUGACUGGUGUUGUACUUAAAGAAAAGUAGUGUAUACUAUAAAUUCCCACCGAUGAAUAUUUAUAAAUUGGAUUAAAAUGGAAGGAUGAAAUCCACUUGAUUCUCAUAAAAUUAACAUUUUCUUUCAUUAAAUUUUGAAGCAUUGAAGUAGAUAUUACUAUAUGAUUACUUUAAACAGUGAUUUUAAUCCACUGUUUGCAAAAUCAUUAAAAUAUUUGUCAAUAUAUAUAAAUAAUAACUUUUAAAAAAAUAAAUAUAUUCAUAUUUAAUAUUUUAAAUUCAUUCGAUAGAAGUGAUAUGCAGCUUGCCCAUGAAGUUUCCUUUGGAAAGUGAGAAUGUAGACAUUUGAAUUGAUAGAAUGAAAGUGUUGAAACCUUGACUUUGGUGCACACUACAGCCAUUAGAUGGAUAAUUCCUACUUCUAAUCAUAAUUCUGGGUGUUUAAAUUCAUGCCAUCCUAGUUGUCAAUACUUAUUUUUUUAAUUUUAGAAUUUUAUUUAAUUAACAUUCUAAUUACUUUUCUAAAUUUUUAAGGUCCUUUUAUCACUAAAUUUAUUGAUUUUACCAUUAAAUGAGACAUUAAAUCUUGCAUGAUAUAUCUUAAAAUGAAAAUUUUAAAGAAAAAUAAAUGUUGUAAAAAUCUUGGUUUUGAGGUUUUCAAAAUUUUUACGGAAGCUUUAGCUCUUAUUCCAAUUUUACUUUAUUUUUUUUAGUUUUAAUUUUAGAAGUUAUAUGGCAAUGUUUUAUUUUUUAUUUAAAAUUGUUAUUUAAAAUUAUGUUACAUAAGAUUCAACAUGUCAUUUAAUGGUUUAACGGUUCAUUUAUUGGUGUCAAUAAUAGAAGAACCUAAUUGAUAGUUUAGGUAUGUAAUUAUAACAUUUUGAAAUUUUGAUACUAAUUUAGAAUGAUAAUCAUAGUUGAGGAUGUUGAAUGCAAUUAACCCUAUACUUUUUGGUGUUGGUGUCACAGUUUGAUAGAUGGAAUUAUGGACGAGACUUUGACUCUGCUUAUAGCCGUAGCCAUAGGGCAUAAAUUUCCCUGUCAAAAUUAACAUAUGUAUUUUAAUUGAUUCAGUAGUAGGACCACUAGUGAAGCCAACCACUGAAUAGUGAUCUUUUUAGAUAAGAUGCUUACCGUGUUUUUCUGUUCUUGCUCCACGAAUGGUUUAUGUUCUUCCGACAUCAAAAUAAUUUUAUUACUGUACUAACAUAUUAUUUUAUAAUUUUUAAAGACUUUCAUCAUUAUAUUAACAUAUUAUUUUAUUAUUUUCAAAAAGAUUAUAAAGAAUUUUAUCAUUUUAAGGGGAUAAAGUGCAACUUAACCACUAUAUUAAUUUAAAAUUUUUAAAGGGACUAAAAUGAAAAUGUUCUUUGAGGUCCUAUCCUAAAAUUGUUUUAGAAAGCUAGAGGUAAAUCAUAAAUUAAUUAUUGGAGGUAAAGCAUACUAACAUAUUAUUUUAUAAAAACUUAAGGGACUAAAUGGCUGCUUACGGAGUGUAAAACUUUUACGGCAUAUCUAGAGACACAGUCGAUACAUUUUUCUUCGAUAUACAUUUAUUUACAUAAUUAGACUUCUCAAAAAAAUUGAAAGGAGUAAAAAAAAAAUUCACUUUCGAAUUAACUCAAAUUGCUAUAAAAAUCUCAUUAUAAAAAUAAUGUUAUAAAUAAUAGUACACCUUUUCGUAAAAUGCUAUAACAAUAUAUAUGGUUACUUUAAACAGUGGUUUUAAUUCACUUUUAGCAAAAUUAUUAAAAUAUUUGUGCACCAUAUAUAUGAAAUCUGGUCCUUGAAAUAUAUAAAAUUAAAUAUCUCUAUUAAAAAAAAUAUAUGUAGAGAUCUCUAUAAAGUUUGGUUUGAAAUAGGAAGCCUAUAUACUUUUUAUUUUGAUAGAUGGAAUUUUAUAGAGGAGACCCUGUAAGUCUUAGGAGUGAAGUUUAAAAACAUUAUAACUUAUUGAUUCGAUAACGAGAGUUAUUAAAUUUAAAUCCUCCUAAAACAAAGUCUUCAAUGAUGGGAAUAAAAAGUAAAAAAUAAAUGGUGAAUAGAUUAAUUUAUGUCAUAUUAUUUUUUUAUAUUCUUUUACAAAUGUUUUAAUAUCAAUUAGAUUUUUUUAUUAUCACUAUAUUUUAAUCAUCAAAAUAAUAAACAUAUGUUAAUUAGCUAUUAUUUUGAAUAAUGUUUUUUUGUAAAUUACAUGGUGUAUUGAUUAAAUUAAAAAAACUUUAAUUAUGAUUUCAAAAUUAUUUGUAUAAUAUUUAAUUUUUAAAUAAGUUAAUAUAUUUUAAUUAUAUUCAACAGUUUUGUAUAAGAAAUAUUAUUUUACAAUAAUUAAAAAUAUAAUAUUAAAAAAACUAACUAAAAAUUAAAUAUCUAAAAUCACAUUCAACAUAUGUGCCAUUAGAAACCAGUAUUUAUGCAAAUUAAUCUUAAGCAUUAAGAUAGGUAAAAAAAAUAGUAACUUACUGAUUUGGGAAUGGGAGUCAAUUAAAUUAACUCCGCCCAAGAAAAGAGUCUUCAAUGAUGAGAAUAAAUCCAAUGAUUGUAGUUGAAGAUUGCAACCUGAGCCUAUCAAAUAGUAUAUUUAUAUUUAUUUUAUUUCUUUGGAAUAUAUCAAAUUAAUCAAACUAACAAGUAAUUAGUACAUUUAAAUUAAAUUUGGAAUUAGUACCAAUAUUUGAAUCGCAUCUCAUAUCGAGGUCCUCCAAAUUGCUCAAGCCAUCUAAUUCUGAGGAGAAUCAAAAAUUGAAAAGUAAAUACUUUAUUAAUAUAUGUAGACGUCAUUGAAUAAGGAGAAAGAGGAUGAUAUUCAACAGUUUUGUAUAAGAAAUAUUAUUUUACAAUAAUUAAAAAUAUAAUAUUAAAAAAAAACUAAAAAUUAAAUGUCUAAAAUCACAUUCAACAUAUGUGCCAUUAGAAACCAGUAUUUAUAUAAAUUAAUAUUAAGAAUUAAGAUACGUAAAAAAAAUAGUAACUUACUGAUUUGGGAAUGAGAGUCAAUUAAAUUAACUCCUCUCAAGAAAAGAGUCUUCAAUGAUGAGAAUAAAUCUAAUGAUUGUAGUUGAAGAUUGCAACCUGAGCCUAUCAAAUAGUAUAUUUAUAUUUACUUUAUUUCUUUGGAAUAUAUCAAAUUAAUCAAACUAACAAGUAAUUAGUACAUUUAAAUUAAAUUUGGAAUUAGUACCAAUAUUUGAAUCGCAGCUCAUAUGGAGGUCCUCCAAAUUGCUCAAGCCAUCUAAUUCUGAGGAGAAUCAAAAAUUGAAAAGUAAAUACUUUAUUAAUAUAUGUAGACGUCAUUGAAUAAGGAGAAAGAGGAUGAUAUUCAACAGUUUUGUAUAAGAAAUAUUAUUUUACAAUAAUUAAAAAUAUAAUAUUAAAAAAAUAACUAAAAAUUAAAUGUCUAAAAUCACAUUCAACAUAUGUGCCGUUAGAAACCAGUAUUUAUGUAAAUUAAUAUUAAGAAUUAAGAUACGUAAAAAAAAUAGUAACUUACUGAUUUGAGAAUGAGAAUCAAUUAAAUUAACUCCGUCCAAGGAAAGAGUCUUCAAUGAUGAGAAUAAAUCCAAUGAUUGUAGUUGAAGAUUGCAACCUGAGCCUAUCAAAUAGUAUACUUAUAUUUACUUUAUUUCUUUGGAAUAUAUCAAAUUAAUCAAACUAACAAGUAAUUAGUACAUUUAAAUUAAAUUUGGAAUUAGCCACAAUUUUAUUUUAGUAGUACCAAUUGAAUCGCAGCUCAUAUCGAGGUCCUCCAAAUUGCUCAAGCCAUCUAAUUAUGAGGAGAAUCAAAAAUUGAAAAGUAAAUACUUUAUUAAUAUAUGUAGACGUCAUUGAAUAAGGAGAAAGAGGAUGAUAAUUUUACCUUUAAUAUCUAUUGUUCCUUCCAAAUUGGAGCCUCCUAAAGACAAAGUCUUUAGAUUUGAGAGUGUUCCGAGAGAUGACAAUAUGGUAUUGUUGAAGAGAUUGCCAUACAAACGAAGCACUGUCAAAUUCAUCAACCUUAAACCUGCCUCAUUAUUACCAAGUAGCAUGCUCUUAAUUAUUUCACUUCCCAUUUAAUUAUACUUAAAUUACUUAAAAUGAAUAGUAAAAUAACCUAAAAAAUAACUAUUUAUGUAAAUAAUAUUGGUUAAAAAAUAACUACUUAAAUGAAUUGAAAUGAACAGUAAAAUUGAGUUAUAGAGAGUAAAUGACUGGCACCAACUUUUUUUCUAACACAAACAUUGUGUCAGAGAUUAAAAAUAAUAAUUUCUAAGGUUUCAGACACUAGAUGGAUGAUACCCAUGUAUUUUUCCCAAUCCGUAUCAUAUUGGUAAUAUAUACCAGUAUUUUAAAAAAUAGUUAUGGUGCUGACACAUUGAUAACCGUCACCCACUACAUCUGAUUAAAAAAAAAUUUUGGGUGUUGAUACACUGAUGGUCGAUACCCUUUUUACCUGAUUAAAAUUUUUUUGGACGUUAGAACACUGAUGGUCGGCACCCCCUUUAUCUGAUUAAAAAAAAUUGGGUGCUAGGAUUCUGAUGGCCAGAUAAAGGGGGUCACAACACCAAUUUUUUUUAAUCAGAUAAAUGGAUGUUGACCAUCAGUGUUUCAACACCCCAAAAAAAUCUUUUUAACCAAAUAAAGGAGGUGUCGGCCAUCAGUGUCCCAACACCUCAAUUUUUUUUAAAUCUAGUGCAGAAGUGCCAACCAUCAAUGUCCCAACACCUCAAAAAAAAAAAUUAUCUAAUAAAUUGGUGUCGACCAUUAGUACCAACACUCUAAUUUUUUUAAAUAUUGGUAUAAACGUAUACUAGUAUGACAUGAAUUGGAAAAAAAUACAUAAAUGUCGGCUAUCUAGUGUUCAAAACCCCAAAAAUUAUUUUUUAAUCCCUUACACAAUCAUCCGCCAAUAAUUGUGUUAGAAAAAAAAGUGGUGCUGAUCAUCUACUCCCCAUAAUGCAAUUAUGUAACAUAACCCUACUUCUGCUAAACUGUUUUGACUUUGAGUCGAGACCUACCUCUUUUAAGUAACUCUAAUUAAGGGUAUGUUAGAAUAGAUUAGAGGCAAAAGAUUAUAUAUAAUAUUUUAUUUAGUGAGUAUUUUAUUAUUAUUUAAGAUAAUAAUUUGUGAACCUAAAUUCUCCUGCAUAAUUUAUUAUCAUGUAGCUCAUAGAAUGGAUUAAACUAAUAGAGUGAAUUUUUUUUAAAAUAAAUUAGUAGGGUGAAUAUAUCCCUUGAAAAAAUUACAAAUAAAUUAGAAAUUUAAGUGUAAAAAAUGAAAUUACUUUAUUAAUCCAUUAAUAACACCAGCUUUGAGGCUAAAAUAUAACCGAAAUCAUUUUGGUCCCAUUUUUGUUUUAUUUAUUUGCGAAAUUGCCCCAAAUUUCUGUUUUAAGUUUAAAUUAGUCAUUUUUGUCAUUUUUUCUAUUAAAUUAGUUAAUUUCAAUAGUAUUAUUAUUAUUAUUAUUAUUAUUAUUAUUAUUAUUACAUAAAUACAUGCAUAUUUUUUUAUAAUAUAUAUGUGUAUUUUUUUAAAACUUUUGUAAAUACAUGUACAUAUUUUGUAUAUAUAUAUUAUUUUAUUUUCAUAACUUUUAUAUGCAUGUAUAUAUAUAUAUACAUUUACAUUUUAUAAUACAUAUACAUCUUCUAUAUUUUAUAAUCAAUACAAGUAUACAUGCAUCUUCUAUAUUAUAUAUAUAUGCGUACUUUUUUUUAAAAAAAUUUAUUAUAAAUAUAUAUUUCAUUCAUUUUUUAUAUAUAUGUAUACUUAUAUAUACAUAUUUUGUAUAUACAUAUACAUAUAUAAUUUAUAUUAAAGUAUUUGUUUCAUGUUCUAUAUUAACAUUUUAUCACAUUUUUAAGGAAAAUAUAUUUGGAUUCAUCAAAGCAUUAAAACCGUUUUUUUUUUUGUUCAAAGGCUUUUAAGAUAAUGCAAUAUUCGGUAUUUGGGAUAUUCGAGAGGAUUGAGCCCUAACGUAUUGGGUUCCAAUUUUCCUUGUUAAACCUAAAAUUUUCGAGAAUUCAACAUGUUGUGUCCUAACGUAUUGGGCAUGACAUAUUGUUUUCUUAAGAUGAAGAUUUUCCUAUGAAAAAGCAAUAUUCAAAGUUUGAGGAUUUUGAGAAAUUGUACUCUAACGUAUUGGGUCUCGAUUUCUUCGUCUGACUUAAACAAUUGAAUAUCAUUUUAAAUUUCAUCGCUUGAGUUUUUUUUAAGAUCUUUUCAAACCUUUGACACCAAGACAUUAAACAAUCAAUUCGUUACCAAUUUUGGGUGUUACGAGGGUGCUAACCCUUCCUCAUGCAUAACUGACUCCCGAACCUGUUUUCUCAAAUUUCGCAAACCAAAAUUGUUUUUAAUGUGAGCCGAUCACACCUCAAUAAAGGAUCGGUGGCGACUCCAAUUUUUGUUUUUAAAGUCAACAACUAAUUUUUGUUUUCAAAAAAAUGGUUUCAACACAUAUCAUUCUCUUGCCGUUUUUUCAUAGGCAUAUAUCAUUCAUUUCAGAUCAAUACCAAUAAUAAUUCAUUUCUCAAUAUUUACAAUUUUUAUUUCGUUUUCGUUUGGUAACAUCAUAUACUAUUACAUUAAGCCUUUAUUUAUCUCAUGAACAAUUAGUUCAUGCUUUCUAUUCACAUUUUCAUAUUCAAUUCACAUUUUCAAAAUUCAGUUCAAUACUAACAUAUAUACAUAUAUUAUUCAUCACCAAAUAACAUUCACUUUAAUCAAAAUUGUACAGAAUAUAGUUCAUACGAACUUGCCAGGCUAAUUUGCAGAAAUACUGUAACUAUGUAUCAACUUAUCAACAUGAGUUAAUUCAUAACCAUUAAUGACAUUUCUUCAUGCCAAAUCAUAUACCAAACAUACCACACACACAUAUGCUAUGAAACUUUAUUUCCCCACAUGAGCUUAAACCAUGACCAAUAAUGCACAAAUAUAAGCAUCAUUUCUAUUUCAACGUUUGUCGAUUAUAAUCGAACAUAUGACCAAUUAUACACAAUUCAUUCAUAUAUUUAUCCAAUUUUCCUCCUCCUCCUCUCGAUUCCAUAUCCUUAAUGUAUAUAACAUGCUUAAACAAAAGUAACUAUAUUUUCACUUUUUUACUUAUAUUUAAAUUCAAAGUUGUCUAUCCAAGUUAGAGUCACUAAAUUAUUUAUAUCUUAAGCUACGGAGCUCCAAAUUAAUUCGUUAAUUUUCCCAUAAACUAGACUCAUAUAUCUUCUUACCAUAAAAUUUUUAGAAUUUUUGACUUAGCCAAUUUUGACUUAGCCAAUAAGUACAGUUUAUUCUUUAAAGUAUCUCCUAUUUCACUGUUUGGCAGUUCUAACCUCCCUUCACUAAAAAUUAAUUAUCUCAUUAUACAGAGUUUGGAUGACGUUCUUAUUUGUUUCUCUUGAAAAUAGACUCAUAAAAUAUAACUCAUAAUUAUUUUUUUACAAUUUUUAAUGAUUUUCCGAAGUCAAAAUAGGGGAUUUAAAAAUCAUCCUAACCCUGUCUCACUAAAAUUUAAAUAUCUCAAAAUAUAUAACUCUUUUGCAUACUCUAUUUCUUUUAUGUGAAAAUAGACUCAUUUAGCUUUAAUUUCAUAUAUUAUUCAGCCUUUAAUUCAAUUUCCACAAUUUUUUGUGAUUUUUCAAAUUCAUACAACUGUUGCUAUCUAAAACUGUUUUGUUGCUAAAUUUACUCUUUCACAAUUUCACUUAUUCCAUUUCAUCUUACCAAUGGUUUGAUCAAAUAUCGAGCACAUUGUUCAUAAAUUUUCACACUUAUACCUACACUCAUUUAUCACAUAGUCACAUUCAAUUAUACUUAGUUGUUACAUGAUCUCAUGUAUUUUCACUUGGACAAUUUCCCGAUGAAUAUUUCGGAAUAAUAACAGAUACACGGUGGAUCAGCACAUAGCACCACCCUUAUAGUCAAUGAUACUCGGUGGAAUCAACACAUAGCAACCACCUUUAUAAUCAAUGGUAUGUAAUUAUAACAUUUUGGAAUUUAAAGACUAAUUUAGAAUGAUAAUUUUUUUAAAAAUAAAUAUAUUCAUAUUUAAUAUUUUAAAUCCAUUCGAUAGAAGUGAUGUGCAGCUUGCCCAUGAAGUUUCCUUUGGAAAGUGAGAAUGUAGACAUUUGAAUUGAUAGAAUGAAAGUGUUGAAACCUUGACAUUGGUGCACAGCCAUUAGAUGUGCCAUCCUAGUUGUCAAUUAAACUAAGGUUGAAUUAAAAGUUUUUGGUAUGUUAUUGAAGAAUAGUUUACAAUAUUUAUUACACUUAUUUUUUUAAUUUUAGAAUUUUAUUUAAUUAACAUUCCUAUUACUUUUCUAAAUUUUUAAGGUCCUUUUAUCACUAAAUUUAUUGAUUUUACCAUUUCUAAAUUGUUGUUUUAAAUUAUGUUACAUAAUAUUCAACAUGUCAUUUAACGGUUUAAUGGUUCAUUUACUGGUGUCAAUAAUAGAAGAACCUAAUUGACAGUUUAGGUAUGUAAUUAUAACAUUUUGAAAUUUAGAGACUAAUUUAAAAUGAUAAUCAUAGUUGAGGAUGUUGAAUGCAAUUAACCCUAUACUUUUUAGAUGUUGUCAUUUUAUUUUGUUUUGGCAUUGGUGUCAUAGUUUGAUAGAUGGAAUUAUCGACGAGACUUUGACUCUGCUUAUAGCCGUAGCCAUAGGGCAUAAAUUUCCCUGCCAAAAAUUUCCAUAUAUACAUAUAUUAGUGAAGGAAAAUAAGAGAAAGUGAUGGGAAAUAUUAUAGAGAAAGGGAAUAAGAGUGUUAUAAAUUUAGUAUUCAAUAUUUUGCACUAAAAUAGUUUUGGACAGCAGCAGUAGGUUAAUUUGAAAAAUCACCAUAAAUUGUGAAAAUCGAAUUAGAGGAUGAAUAAAACAUUAAAUUAAAUCUUAUUGAGUCUAGUUUCUCAUAUAAGAAACAGUGUAAGCAAUGGAAUUGUAAAUCAUGAGAUAUAAUAAAUUUUGUGAGACAAGGUCAGAAUGAAUUCUGGUUCCCCUGUUUUGACUUUGGAAAAUAAUAAAAAAUUGAAUAAAAAUAAUUAGGGGCAUAAAUUUAUAGUUUUAAAAUUAUGUAUAAGUCUAUGUUCAAGAGAAAUAAAUGGGAAUAUCAUCCGAAUCCCGUACGAGGAGAUAAUUAAUUUUUAGUGAAGAAGGGUCGAAACUGUCAGACAGCAGAACAUGGGUGACUUUAAAGAAUAAACUGUAGUUAUUGGCUAAACCAAAAAUUCUGAAAAUUUUAUGGUAAGAAGAUAAUCGAGUCUAGUUUCAGAGAAAAUUAGAAGAUCCUAAUUUGGAGUUCUGUAGCUCAAGAUAAAAAUGAUUUAAUGACUAUGACACGGAUGGACAACUUUGAAUAAAUUUAUAAGUAAAUAGUGAAAUCAUAGAUAAUGUUACUUUUAAGCAUGUUAUAUAAAUUAAGGAUGUGGAACGGAGAGGAGGAGGAGGAAAAUAAAUAUAUAAAUAUUCUUUUAGCAUGGAUUUGCAUUAAAAAUAGUUAAUUUGCAUGAUUUGGUCUCAAGGACUAAAUUGAAUAAAAAGUAAAACUUUAGGGACAAUUUUGUAAAAAUAUAAUUUUUUAUUUAGUGAGUAUUUUAUUAUUAUUUAAGAUAAUAAUUUGUGAACCUAAAUUCGACUGCAUAAUUUAUUAUCACAUGUAGCUCAUAGAAUGGAUCAAACUAAUAGAGUGAAUUUUCUUUAAAAAUAAAUUAGUAGGGUGAAUAUAUUCCUUGAAAAAAUUUCAAAUAAAUUAGAAAUUUAAUUGUAAAAAAAUGAAAUUACUUUAUUAAUCCAUUAAUAACUCCAGCUUUGAGGCUAAAAUAUAACCGAAAUCGUUAAACUCAAAAUUCAAUAUCCCGUUAGAAAAUGAAAGUUUAAAAGUAAAAAAAGAUGCACAAAAUUUGACGGUUGAAUUGUAGGGGAUUAAUCCUUUAUUAUCCCCCGCUCAAUGACAUUAGAUUUUGAGGUCAUAUCAAAUAUUAUUAAAUGCUACUUUCUUCAAUCAUCCUCCACCCAUAUGCAGAAAUUUGGAUAGCUGUUCCAUUUCUAAUGCAGAAUUAUUCAUAUUUGCCAUCAUCCUUCUUCAAGCAUUGCUAAUAUUCAGCUCUGUAAUUCAUUAGGAAUAACGUAUGGUAAGAACUAUGUUUUGACUUAGCCUUAAUUAAUUGUUAGACUACCUUUAUUUACCAAAAAGAUUAUAUCCAUAUAUUUCUAGCCAGUUUGUGUAUUUUUCAUCUUUUCAGAAUAUAAGAUAAUUUGCAAUUAUAAAGCAAAAAAGAGAAUACUGCCUUUUUAUUGAAGGAUAAUAAAUUACAAGAAUAUCAAAUAUGAGUAGAGAAAAUGUGAACUUAACAUUGCCUUACAUAUUUUCACAGUGGAGCCUUUUAGGCAGAAUAUGGUCUUCCAAAAAAUAGUAGCAGCAAUUGCUUAUUGCCCCAACAUAAUAGAACCAUGCUUGUCUCCAGUAUGGAUUAAUGUAAAGCACACAUGCAAUACUCAGGAUUGCCAUAACAUAAGACACAACGAAAGUCACAAAAAAGGAAAUCAUAUCAAUCAAACCAUUUUCAGUCGAUGCUUUUGGCAAUAAAGAUGCUGAUGGUCCUGGUGUUGAGCAGUCCUUCAAUGGUUUACCGCAUAAAAGAGGAUUUCCCACAUAUCUGCUUUCGUCAAAUGUUGCAAACUGUGCAGUCCAUGCAGGUGUACUUCCAGAUAAAUUAUUGUAUGCCACACUGAAAUAAGACAACCUAUAUAACCCCACAAGUUGUGGAGGGAUUUUCCCGCUCAAGUUGUUGUGAGAAAGAUCGAGACUCUCAAUUUGCUUCAGAUUGGAAAACGCCGGUGGGAUUGGUCCUAUCAAAUUGUUGUGAGACAAAUUCAAAGCAUAAAUAUUUCGCAAGUUUUUCACUUCGCUGGGAAUUUCACCUGUCAACUUGUUGCAAGAGAGAUCAAUUCCAGAUAAAUAUGUGAGAAGAAUUCCCUUAUAAGAGUAAGACAUGCUUUUCACUGUGAACUCUAUCGGUUCAUCAAUGAAGAAAGAACUGGGAGCUUGAGCAAUAUCAGUGACAUAACGAGCAUAUUCUUGGGAUAUUUCAUUCAGUGCUGUAAUCUUCAGGCAAGGUGGAAUUGUACCUGAAAGAUUGUUAUUGGAAAGAUUAAUCAGGCUUAACUGGCCCAAAUUGCAUAACUGAAUUGGAAUCCCACCUUCAAAAUGGUUGUUAUUUAGCAAAAGAAAACUCAAUUGAGAAAGGUUGCCAAUCCAACGUGGAAUUUUCCCAGUUAAGUGAUUAUUGCUGAGAUCUAAUGUCACCAAGCUAGUGCUGUUAUGAAAAAUAUUUGUGAGUGCCCCUUCUAGCUUGUUUCUUGAUAAAUGAACUUGACUUAUCCAUAAAGGGCUGAAACAAGAUGGAAGACUCCCAGAAAUAUUGUUCACUGAAAGGUCUAGAAGUUUAAGAUCAUUAAGAUGGCAAAACUCCUUUGGGAAUGGACCUUCAAGAUGAUUGUUUGCCAUCACAAUUUCUUCCAAAUAUGACAUACUCCCCAUCCACCUUGGUAUGUCCCCAGAAAGCUCGUUAUUGCUUAAAUCCAAUGUUGACAAACUUGACAUAUUCUCCAUCCACCUUGGUAUCUCCCCAGAAAGCACGUUAUUGCUUAAAUCCAAUGUUGACAAAAAGGAGCAAUUAGACAAGGAAUCUGGGAUCUUCCCAGAGAAAUGAUUCCCAUCUAACUGCAACUCCUGCAACUUUGUAAGGUUAACAUUUGAAGAGAACAUCUGCCCUUGCAAUUUGUUGUUGGACAGUGCAAGGGAAGUUAAUGAAAAGCAGCCCAUGGUCAAAUGCUCAGGUAGCCCACCAGACAAUUGAUUAUUGGACAAGUCCAAGGCUUCUAAGAAAUUCAU